rnacentral:rRNA from 1 species
GAGGGCGGGGGAUAACCACUGGAAACGGUGGCUAAUACCGCAUAAUGUCGCGAGACCAAAGUGGGGGACCUGAAAGGGCCUCACGCCGUCGGAUGAACCCAGAUGGGAUUAGCUGGUAGGUAGGGUAAUGGCCUACCUAGGCGACGAUCUCUAGCUGGUCUGAGAGGAUGACCAGCCACACUGGGACUGAGACACGGCCCAGACUCCUACGGGAGGCAGCAGUGGGGAAUAUUGCACAAUGGGCGCAAGCCUGAUGCAGCCAUGCCGCGUGUAUGAAGAAGGCCUUCGGGUUGUAAAGUACUUUCAGCGGGGAGGGAAGGGUUUAGCCUGAAGAGGGCUGGACUUUGACGUAACCC